rnacentral:rRNA from 1 species
AGAGUUUGAUCAUGGCUCAGAUUGAACGCUGGCGGCAGGCCUAACACAUGCAAGUCGAGCGGUAGCACAGAAGAGCUUGCUCUUCGGGUGACGAGCGGCGGACGGGUGAGUAAUGUCUGGGAAACUGCCUGAUGGAGGGGGAUAACUACUGGAAACGGUAGCUAAUACCGCAUAACGUCUUCGGACCAAAGAGGGGGACCUUCGGGCCUCUCGCCAUCGGAUGUGCCCAGAUGGGAUUAGCUAGUAGGUGAGGUAAUGGCUCACCUAGGCGACGAUCCCUAGCUGGUCUGAGAGGAUGACCAGCCACACUGGAACUGAGACACGGUCCAGACUCCUACGGGAGGCAGCAGUGGGGAAUAUUGCACAAUGGGCGCAAGCCUGAUGCAGCCAUGCCGCGUGUGUGAAGAAGGCCUUCGGGUUGUAAAGCACUUUCAGCGGGGAGGAAGGCGAUAAGGUUAAUAACCUUGUCGAUUGACGUUACCCGCAGAAGAAGCACCGGCUAACUCCGUGCCAGCAGCCGCGGUAAUACGGAGGGUGCAAGCGUUAAUCGGAAUGACUGGGCGUAAAGCGCACGCAGGCGGUCUGUUAAGUUGGAUGUGAAAUCCCCGGGCUUAACCUGGGAACUGCAUUCAAAACUGACAGGCUAGAGUCUUGUAGAGGGGGGUAGAAUUCCAGGUGUAGCGGUGAAAUGCGUAGAGAUCUGGAGGAAUACCGGUGGCGAAGGCGGCCCCCUGGACAAAGACUGACGCUCAGGUGCGAAAGCGUGGGGAGCAAACAGGAUUAGAUACCCUGGUAGUCCACGCUGUAAACGAUGUCGACUUGGAGGUUGUGCCCUUGAGGCGUGGCUUCCGGAGCUAACGCGUUAAGUCGACCGCCUGGGGAGUACGGCCGCAAGGUUAAAACUCAAAUGAAUUGACGGGGGCCCGCACAAGCGGUGGAGCAUGUGGUUUAAUUCGAUGCAACGCGAAGAACCUUACCUACUCUUGACAUCCACAGAAUUUGGUAGAGAUACCUUAGUGCCUUCGGGAACUGUGAGACAGGUGCUGCAUGGCUGUCGUCAGCUCGUGUUGUGAAAUGUUGGGUUAAGUCCCGCAACGAGCGCAACCCUUAUCCUUUGUUGCCAGCGAGUAAUGUCGGGAACUCAAAGGAGACUGCCGGUGAUAAACCGGAGGAAGGUGGGGAUGACGUCAAGUCAUCAUGGCCCUUACGAGUAGGGCUACACACGUGCUACAAUGGCGUAUACAAAGAGAAGCGAUCUCGCGAGAGCAAGCGGACCUCAUAAAGUACGUCGUAGUCCGGAUUGGAGUCUGCAACUCGACUCCAUGAAGUCGGAAUCGCUAGUAAUCGUAGAUCAGAAUGCUACGGUGAAUACGUUCCCGGGCCUUGUACACACCGCCCGUCACACCAUGGGAGUGGGUUGCAAAAGAAGUAGGUAGCUUAACCUUCGGGAGGGCGCUUACCACUUUGUGAUUCAUGACUGGGGUGAAGUCGUAACAAGGUAACCGUAGGGGAACCUGCGGUUGGAUCACCU